UACAGAGGGUGCGAGCGUUGUUCGGAAUUACUGGGCGUAAAGCGCGCGCAGGCGGCUCUUUAAGUCUGACGGUGAAAUGCCGGGGCUCAACCCCGUGCCCGCCGGAGAUACUGGGGAGCUGGAGACGAGUAGAGGCAAGCGGAAUUCCGGGUGUAGCGGUGGAAUGCGUAGAGAUCCGGAAGAACACCGGGGGCGAAGGCGGCUUGCUGGGCUCGGUCUGACGCUGAGGCGCGAAAGCGUGGGGAGCGAACAGG
rnacentral:rRNA from 1 species